GGCUGGGUGACAGAGUGGUUAUGUAGCGGUCUGCAAAACCGUGUAUGCCGGUUCAAUUCCGACCCCAGCCU
rnacentral:tRNA from 1 species